UUUAGACUUAAGAGCUAUUCAAAUAAGGCACAGCUUAUUUGAAAUAGGACACAACCUACAACAUAGGGUAAAUGAGAGUGACCUAAAUAAAGUGGGCCUAAAAGCAGCCACCUUCAGAAAAGCGUUAAAGCUUAACUACCUUCACUCAUAAUGCCUAAAAUCUCCACUAACCCUUCAUUACUACUGAACAAUUUUAUACUCAUAUAAAAGCUAUCAUGCUAGAACUAGUAACAAGAAACUGCUUUUCUCCUAAAUGUAAACAUAAACCAAAAUAGACCAUCUAUUGGUUAUUAACGUAAACGCUAAACUGUAGCAACACUCACUAGAAAAUCCUAUAAACCCCAACGUUAACCUUACACCAGAACAUUACAGGAAAGAUUAAAAGAAAAAGAAGGAACUCGGCAAAUUUUAGCCUCGCCUGUUUACCAAAAACAUCGCCUCUUGACAAACAUAAGAGGUCCAGCCUGCCCAGUGACAAAGUUCAACGGCCGCGGUACCCUAACCGUGCAAAGGUAGCACAAUCACUUGUUCUUUAAAUGAGGACUCGUAUCAACGGCACUACGAGGGCUAUACUGUCUCCUUUUUCUAAUCAGUGAAACUGAUCUCCCCGUGAAGAAGCGGGGAUUGUAAUAUAAGACGAGAAGACCCCAUGGAGCUUUAAACUCACCAUGUACCCCUGUGCUCCCAUACCCCCAGACACAACAGACCUACAUGUUAGUUUUAGGUUGGGGUGACCACGGAGUAUAACUUAACCUCCAUAGCAAAUGGGCUAAUACCCUUAUCCACGAGACACAACUCUAAGAAUUACUAAACUAAUGCUUACGACCCGAUAUUCGAUCCAUGAACCAAGUUACCCUGGGGAUAACAGCGCAAUCUACUUCAAGAGCCCAUAUCGACAAGUAGGUUUACGACCUCGAUGUUGGAUCAGGGUAUCCCGGUGGUGCAGCCG
rnacentral:rRNA from 1 species